rnacentral:rRNA from 1 species
UACGUAGGGUGCAAGCGUUAAUCGGAAUUACUGGGCGUAAAGCGUGCGCAGGCGGUUAUGUAAGACAGAUGUGAAAUGCCCGGGCUUACCUGGGAACUGCAUUUGUGACUGCAUGGCUAGAGUUUGGCAGAGGGGGGUAGAAUUCCACGUGUAGCAGUGAAAUGCGUAGAUAUGUGGAGGAACACCGAUGGCGAAGGCAGCCCCCUGGGUCAAGACUGACGCUCAUGCACGAAAGCGUGGGGAGCAAACAGG